rnacentral:rRNA from 1 species
AGAGUUUGAUCCUGGCUCAGAACGAACGCUGGCGGCGUGCCUAACACAUGCAAGUCGAACGGAAUUAGAGAGCUUGCUCUUUAGUUUAGUGGCGCACGGGUGAGUAACACGUGGAUGACCUUCCCUGGAGUGGUGGAUAACCUGCCGAAAGGCGGGCUAAUACAGCAUAGGACCACGGCGCUUUGGCGAUGUGGUGAAAGCGGGCCUCUAUAUAUAAGCUCGCGCUCCGGGACGGGUCCGCGUCCCAUCAGCUAGUUGGUGAGGUAACGGCUCACCAAGGCAACGACGGGUAGCUGGUCUGAGAGGAUGGCCAGCCACACUGGAACUGAGACACGGUCCAGACUCCUACGGGAGGCAGCAGUGGGGAAUCUUGCGCAAUGGGCGAAAGCCUGACGCAGCGACGCCGCGUGGGCGAAGAAGGCCUUCGGGUUGUAAAGCCCUGUAGGGGAGAACGAACCUUACGGGGGCGAACACCCUCCGUGCCUGACGGUACUCCUUUAGCAAGCACCGGCUAACUCCGUGCCAGCAGCCGCGGUAA